UACGUAGGGGGCAAGCGUUGUCCGGAUUUAUUGGGCGUAAAGAGCGUGUAGGCGGCUAGAUAGGUCCGUUGUGAAAACUCGAGGCUCAACCUCGAGACGUCGAUGGAAACCAUCUGGCUAGAGUCCGGAAGAGGAGAGUGGAAUUCCUGGUGUAGCGGUGAAAUGCGUAGAUAUGCGGAGGAACACCGAUGGCGAAGGCAAUCCCCUGGGCCUGCACUGACGCUCAUGCACGAAAGCGUGGGGAGCGAACAGG
rnacentral:rRNA from 1 species